UGGGGAAUAUUGCGCAAUGGGGGGAACCCUGACGCAGCCAUGCCGCGUGAAUGAAGAAGGCCUUCGGGUUGUAAAGUUCUUUCGGUAUUGAGGAAGGUUGAUGUGUUAAUAGCACAUCAAAUUGACGUUAAAUACAGAAGAAGCACCGGCUAACUCCGUGCCAGCAGCCGCGGUAAUACGGAGGGUGCGAGCGUUAAUCGGAAUAACUGGGCGUAAAGGGCACGCAGGCGGUUAUUUAAGUGAGGUGUGAAAGCCCUGGGCUUAACCUAGGAAUUGCAUUUCAGACUGGGUAACUAGAGUACUUUAGGGAGGGGUAGAAUUCCACGUGUAGCGGUGAAAUGCGUAGAGAUGUGGAGGAAUACCGAAGGCGAAGGCAGCCCCUUGGGAAUGUACUGACGCUCAUGUGCGAAAGCGUGGGGAGCAAACAGGAUUAGAUACCCUGGUAGUCCACGCUGUAAACGCUGUCGAUUUGGGGAUUGGGCUUAAAGCUUGGUGCCCGUAGCUAACGUGAUAAAUCGACCGCCUGGGGAGUACGGCCGCAAGGUUA
rnacentral:rRNA from 1 species